GAUGAACGCUGGCGGCGUGCUUAACACAUGCAAGUCGAACGGUGAACGAGGGAGCUUGCUCCCUCCGGAUCAGUGGCGAACGGGUGAGUAACACGUGAGCAAUCUGCCCUGGACUCUGGGAUAAGCGUUGGAAACGACGUCUAAUACCGGAUACGAGGCGUGGGGGCAUCCCCAACGCCUGGAAAGAACUUCGGUCCAGGAUGAGCUCGCGGCCUAUCAGGUAGUUGGUGAGGUAACGGCUCACCAAGCCUACGACGGGUAGCCGGCCUGAGAGGGUGACCGGCCACACUGGGACUGAGACACGGCCCAGACUCCUACGGGAGGCAGCAGUGGGGAAUAUUGCACAAUGGGCGCAAGCCUGAUGCAGCAACGCCGCGUGAGGGACGACGGCCUUCGGGUUGUAAACCUCUUUUAGCAGGGAAGAAGCGAAAGUGACGGUACCUGCAGAAAAAGCACCGGCUAACUACGUGCCAGCAGCCGCGGUAACAC
rnacentral:rRNA from 1 species